CAGGGAGACAACAAAAUGUUCAAUAUUAUUAUUUUGUCACCUUAGGUCGAUCGGUAUCUCACGUUUUUAAUUUAUUAAGAAUUUCAUUUCCUAAGUUUUUCUAGGUCACACCCAUUAUUUUUCCUGGGCCAUUAGCUCAGGUGGUUAGAGCGCACCCCUGAUAAGGGUGAGGUCCCUGGUUCAAGUCCAGGAUGGCCCAUAUCUCUAUGUUGGGGGUAUAGCUCAGUUGGUAGAGCGCCUGCUUUGCAAGCAGGAUGUCAGCGGUUCGAGUCCGCUUACCUCCACUGAUUACCACCUCUUCCAUAACCGGUAGAAAGGAAAUGUUUUGAGUUGUGAUCAAAUCCUGAAAGAAUCUAGCUUCCUAAUGAAAUCAUUAAGAUGCUGGACUCAUUGAAUUAACUUCAUUGUUUUCAGAGAACCUUGACAACUGCAUAGAUUAUUUUUAAAGACAAUAAGCAUCUUUAAUGAUGCAGAUUUAUUAUUUGUGCGAAUGCAUUAAUAACAAUUCUAUUAAGCUGAUGCUUCAAUUUUUGAAGUUAUU
rnacentral:tRNA from 1 species